UUGGUGACCAGCGGAGGGAUCAUUACCGAGUUUACAACUCCCAAACCCAAUGUGAACGUUACCAAACUGUUGCCUCGGCGGGAUCUCUGCCCCGGGUGCGUCGCAGCCCCGGACCAAGGCGCCCGCCGGAGGACCAACCAAAACUCUUAUUGUAUACCCCCUCGCGGGUUUUUUUAUAAUCUGAGCCUUCUCGGCGCCUCUCGUAGGCGUUUCGAAAAUGAAUCAAAACUUUCAACAACGGAUCUCUUGGUUCUGGCAUCGAUGAAGAACGCAGCGAAAUGCGAUAAGUAAUGUGAAUUGCAGAAUUCAGUGAAUCAUCGAAUCUUUGAACGCACAUUGCGCCCGCCAGUAUUCUGGCGGGCAUGCCUGUCCGAGCGUCAUUUCAACCCUCGAACCCCUCCGGGGGGUCGGCGUUGGGGAUCGGCCCUGCCUUGGCGGUGGCCGUCUCCGAAAUACAGUGGCGGUCUCGCCGCAGCCUCUCCUGCGCAGUAGUUUGCACACUCGCAUCGGGAGCGCGGCGCGUCCACAGCCGUUAAACACCCAACUUCUGAAAUGUUGACCUCGGAUCAGGUAGGAAUACCCGCUGAACUUAAGCAUAUCAAA
rnacentral:rRNA from 1 species